rnacentral:antisense_RNA from 1 species
CUCUAUGGCGGGCCGUGCGGGCAACCUUCGGGUUGGCCGGCUUUCCUUCUUGCCCGGUAUUGCGACCCCGUACAGCCUGCCGCCUUU